CUCUUAUUUCACUUGCUUUACAUUGUGUGAAGUUGUUUACUUUCAACUUUACAAAGCUAUAUCCUAUGUUUUAAAGGCGUCCCUAAGGCGACGCCUAGGCGACGCCUAGGCGUCGAAGCGCUCCCCCUCCGCUUUGGAAAAUCGACCGCUUUGGGCGCCUAGGCGUCGCCUAGGCGCCAAAGCGCCCCCCUCCCUAAGGCGGUAAGGCAUCGCCUUAAAAACAUAGGCUAUAUCAAGUUCGCAACUGUAUUUGGCUACACCUAUAACAUAUUGCAUUUCUCUUCCAGUUUAUUGAAUAUAUUUUUAAGGAUUGAAUGUUCUGUCUGGUACUGUCCUAUCACACAUUUAACUAUCUUAAUUUGUUCACAAAACUCCUUCUGUAGUUAAGAUUUCAUUGUACAACACGUACUAAUUAUUGGUCUUAUUCUUAAAUCUUAUUUCACGCUAUUCAGCUGCAGGCUGGGUUAAGAUUGUUUUUGUGCCAGAAACAGACUAGGCAAUGCUCUAACUUGGCAGCAAAAAAUGUCUAAAUUUCAUAAAUAAGGUCGUGGAAUAUCUUUGAAUAAGUUCAUUUGAAUAUCUUGAGUUGACCUGUAUGGGUUGCUUCUGUGCACACUUUCUUUGAUAUGAAUUUCUAGGAGAGAAAUUAUUUCAUGGUAAUGAUGUAUUAUCAAUAUUUACUUUGUUCUUGGCCUAUAGGUUUCUUUUUGUGGGAUGCAAUUAUGGUACCAUAUGAAUAUGAUCCUUGAGUUGCAUAUUAUUGCCCUUUUGGACAUAGACAUGUGCCAUGUAGUACAACAUUUAUAAAGCAUGUAUUGGAAAUUGUAAGUAGAUGAUUACGGUUACCCUGUAAUUUGAGGAGUAAGAUAUAUAUGGUGAUAGAAUCUAGAGAUACUUGUUAAUCUAUAACAAUGAGAUCCAGUCACGUGAAAUAUGUUUUAUUCACAGAAACAGGGAAUCAAUCUGGCUGAAAGUAGUCAUCUUAUGGCGUGGCAUGAAGAGGUAGUUCACAAACCUAUGUUAGGUGCUCCAUCCUUUGUCACUUUGGUUUGAUUUGCUAAUAUGGCUUCUCUAAAUAGAUGUGUGCAGAUCUGAGAAAGAAGAGGAAUAAUCCAGCAGAAGAAUUUGGUGAAUAAGAACAAGUUGGCAUUUCUCUCUUGUGAACACAGUCAUGCCUGCCUUUUGAUUUUAUUAUUUGUGCUAAUGCAAACAUGAAUUCUCUAUAGUUCUUUGCGCAGCACUGCUAAUUACUCAAUCUGCAAUACAUAAUUAUUUCUGUGAGAAGUUUAGUGCAUGACUUAGCAUUCUGUAAAGUCUGUCUAAGCUCCUGUCUCUAGGCCUAAAUAGAUUUCUCAAUAUCAUUUUUGUUUAAACACUGAACAACAUUGCCAGGUCAACCAUUUCUCAUGUCUUUGUCAUAUAUAUAGGUAUUGUGGUGUCUAAAUUUUGUCACCAGCCUCUUUCACCGACCCAUAAACUAUCUGUCUCGAGGUUCCCCAUCUAUAUUUGGGUUUCGAAAAAAAAGAACUUUUUUUGGACUUAUUUUGCAUUAGCUACUUUGUAGGUAUUAUGUGCAUUGUCAGGGAUCUGAUAUCAUGUAGUUCCAGGGAUUUCAGAAGGUAUGGUCAGUCCAUUGUUUUUGCCAUGUGUUACUUUUUCUCAUUACUGUGAUCAUCAGUGCUCUUGACAUCUGUUGUUCUUGCUUUAUGAUUGUCUUCCCAGUGCACUUUUAUUAGUUCUAACAUAUUAAUUUUAAUAUGCUUGAUUGACCAUAUUAUAUAUUUCACUUCACCGGGGUGGUGGCUAGAAGUGUUGGUUAAAGUAUUUUGGUUAAAACAUUGUCUCUAAUUAUCAAGUUUAUACAGUUGAAUCUUCUUGAUUGACUAUUUUGUAGCCUGCUCUUAGUUAGUAUUAAUUCUUAAAACUGGAUCUCUUAAAAUUAGUUAAAUUUAUGAGUUGUUUCACUGUUUUCAAAUAAGUAGCUUCAGCCCUCACUGUGUCCUGACGAUUAUUCUUACUACCUUUUUAUGAUUGCUUUAUGCUUUAACAAGCUUAAAUAUAACUAUUGGCAUAUAAUCUCAUGGCUUAAAAUCUUAGUUGAGAAUGUAUUAAAAGUUAUAAGAUCUGGAGUUUGCACUAUAUUUCAUCCAGCGGUAUUCCGAGUAACUGAAUGUUAAGAGCAUAGACGAUCAUAGGUUGUACAUUUUAGUUACUGGGAAAUGCUUUUAUCUUGCAGGCUAAUUUUACAUUUACUUUUUCAAUAAUGAGAUGACUAUGUACAGAGUGUCAAGUUUUUUGCCUUGGCAUUACUGCCGCUGUGUACAGAUGGUUACUGAAAGAAGAAGGAUUCAAGCAGCAUACCUUCACUUGACAGAUGCUUUAACCGCAAGAACUGAUGUUAUUUUCUUUUGGUUUUCUGCAAUGAUGGUAGUUCUCAUUUGAUUCUAGAACCUGCAAAGGAAGGGUAGAGAUUUCCAUUGUUGUUGAAUUGGUGGGAUUGUCACCAAGUUAGUGUUGCAGGUUGUUUCUGUUUUAGAGCAAGAAGCCAAAUCAUGUUGUUCAUUGUAAAUCUUGAAAAACUUGUUUACUGUCGCGUCUAUAUCCAUUAUAAACUUUCAUUCCUAGUGUGGUACUUACCAAUCUUGGUUCGC
rnacentral:lncRNA from 1 species